rnacentral:rRNA from 1 species
AUGAAGGUCCCGUCUGGAUUCUCGUCCAAUAUAAAGGGAAUAAUAAACAUGGCGGAGAAAAAGUUCCAAAACCUGAAGUCUCACGACUGCCACGUGAUUAUGACGCAAUUGCUUCCGAUUGCUUUGAGGGGGCUCCUGCCGGAAAAUGUUCGAGUAGCCAUUGUGAAGCUAUGUGCAUUCCUCAAUGCAAUCUCUCAGAAGGUAAUCAAUCCAGAAGUUCUACCACGGUUACAGAACGAUGUGAUCCAAUGUCUUGUCAGUUUCGAGUUGGUGUUCCCGCCAUCCUUCUUCAAUAUUAUGACGCACCUCCUGGUUCACCUAGUCGAAGAGAUUUUCGUUCUCGGUCCUGUAUUUCUACACAAUAUGUUCCCCUUCGAGAGGUUCAUGGGAGUAUUAAAGAAAUAUGUUCGUAACCGUGCUAGGCCAGAAGAAAGCAUCGCCAAGGGCUAUGGAAAUGAGGAGGUAAUUGCGUUUUGUGUUGACUUUGUUCCUGACCUUAAGCCGAUUGGUCUUCCUCGAUCGCGGCACGAGGGGAGACUAAGUGGAAAAGGCACGAUCGGAAGGAAAUCAACGAUAUGUAUGGACGGCCAUUCUCUGACUGAAGCACACCACACUGUACUGACCAAUUCCAGCUUGGUGGCUCCGUACUUUGAGAAACACAAGAAUAUUUUACGCUCGGAGAACCCGGGGAAGCCUGAAUCCUGGAUUAGGAAGGCCCACAUGGAGACUUUCGGCAGUUGGUUGAGAAAACAUUUAAUGAAUGACAAUGAUGUUAUAGAUCAGCUGUACAUGUUGGCCAAGACAGCAUCUUCGACUAUAACGACUUUCCAAGGGUACGAGAUAAAUGGGAAUACAUUUUACACGAUCGCCCAAGAUAAAAAGAGCACCAACCAAAACAGUGGUGUCCGCUUUGAUGCAGCAACCGAGAAUGGGCAAAAGGUCACAUAUUAUGGUUACAUAGAGGAGAUAUGGGAACUUGACUAUGGACCCUCCUUUAAGGUCCCUUUGUUCCGGUGCAAAUGGUUCAAGCUAACAGGAGGUGGGGUAAAGGUGGACCAGCAAUACGGAAUGACAAUGGUGGAUUUCAACAAUCUUGGUUACCUUGACGAACCAUUCGUCCUAGCGAAAGAUGUCGCUCAGGUUUUCUAUGUGAAGGACAUGAGUAGCAAACCGAGGAAACGGAAAGAUAAGAAAACGACCAGUGCAUCAUGCGAUGAUCCAAAGCGCCACAUUGUUCUUUCAGGGAAAAGAAACAUCGUGGGAGUGGAGGACAAGACAGACAUGUCAGAAGAUUAUAAUAUGUUUGCUGAAAUUCCGCCCUUCAAAGUGAACACCGACCCAAGCAGUAAGUUAAAUGAUGAGGAUGCUCCAUGGAUACGGCACAAUCGUAAGCAAGCAGGGACACAAGGGAAGAAAUGA